rnacentral:rRNA from 1 species
GAUGAACGCUGGCGGCGUGCCUAAUACAUGCAAGUCGAGCGAACGGACGAGAAGCUUGCUUCUCUGAUGUUAGCGGCGGACGGGUGAGUAACACGUGGAUAACCUACCUAUAAGACUGGGAUAACUUCGGGAAACCGGAGCUAAUACCGGAUAAUAUUUUGAACCGCAUGGUUCAAAAGUGAAAGACGGUCUUGCUGUCACUUAUAGAUGGAUCCGCGCUGCAUUAGCUAGUUGGUAAGGUAACGGCUUACCAAGGCAACGAUGCAUAGCCGACCUGAGAGGGUGAUCGGCCACCCUGGAACUGAGACACGGUCCAGACUCCUACGGGAGGCAGCAGUAGGGAAUCUUCCGCAAUGGGCGAAAGCCUGACGGAGCAACGCCGCGUGAGUGAUGAAGGUCUUCGGAUCGUAAAACUCUGUUAUUAGGGAAGAACAUAUGUGUAAGUACCUGUGCACAUCUUGACGGUACCUGAUCAGAAAGCCACGGCUAACUACGUG